rnacentral:rRNA from 1 species
GCCCNGUGAAUUUNUUUAGCGGCCGCGGUACUCUGACCGUGCAAAGGUAGCAUAAUCAUUUGCCUUAUAAUUGAAGGCUGGUAUGAAUGGUUUGACAAGAAUACAACUGUCUCUUUACAAUUUGAUAGAAUUUUAUAUUUAGGUGAAAAAGCCUUAAUUUAAUUAAAAGACAAAAANACCCUAUCGAGCUUAAAAGAAAUUUAUGGGUAUCAAAUUUUUGAUCAAUAAAUAUANCUGUUAAAUAUUUUUGGUUGGGGCGACUGAGGAACAAGAAAAGCUUCCUUUUAUANUUUUUGGUGUACAAAUUGUUGAUCCAUAAUUAAUGAUUAAAGGAAUUAGUUACCGUAGGGAUAACAGCAUAAUCCUUUUUGAAAGUUCUAAUCNAAAAAUGGGUUUGUGACCUCNAUGUUGGACCAAAAUAUCCUAAAAAUGCAAAAGUCUUUAAGGGUUGNNCUGUUCAACCAUUAAAAUUCUA